UGGAAUACUGUGAUAUGGUGAAUUAGACUU
rnacentral:piRNA from 1 species